GAUGAACGCUGGCGGCGUGCCUAAUACAUGCAAGUCGAGCGGACCAAAGAGAGCUUGCUCUCUGAGGUUAGCGGCGGACGGGUGAGUAACACGUGGGUAACCUGCCUGUAAGACGGGGAUAACUUCGGGAAACCGAAGCUAAUACCGGAUGAUGAAGAGAAACGCCUGUUUCUUUUUUGAAAGUCGGCCUUGUGCUGACGCUUACAGAUGGGCCCGCGGCGCAUUAGCUAGUUGGUGAGGUAACGGCUCACCAAGGCGACGAUGCGUAGCCGACCUGAGAGGGUGAUCGGCCAAACUGGGACUGGGACACGGCCCAGACUCCGACGGGAGGCAGCAGUAGGGAAUCUUCGGCAAUGGACGAAAGUCUGACCGAGCAACGCCGCGUGAGCGAUGAAGGCCUUCGGGUCGUAAAGCUCUGUUGUCAGAGAAGAACAAGUACCGGAGUAACUGCCGGUACCUUGACGGUACCUGACCAGAAAGCCACGGCUAACUACGUGCCAGCAGCCGCCGUAAUAC
rnacentral:rRNA from 1 species